AUUUUUUAAAUUCAAUUUAUGCUUUCAGUUUUGAAAUCAACAAUAAUCAUGGACUGUUUUUCUAUACAUAAAUUUUAAGAAUAAAAUUUUGUUUUCUUGAAGAUAAAGUUCUAAUUAAUCUAAAUCAAACAAUUGGUUUCUUAUUAUUUCUGUUAUAUAUAUGUCUGUUGGUCAUGUGUUUGGGUUUAUUUAUUUAUGUGUACAUACAAAUUAUUCUUUUGUUUUCAAUUAGUGCUAUUGAAAUGUAAGACCUUUUUGAACAUAUAAACUUGUUCAAUUUUCUUCACUGAUACUUCUUUUUGACGAUUUUUCUAUAAAUGUAUAACUUUUGAAAUGAGCUUAUUAUUGGCAUUUCUAGACAUUGUUUUGAGACCAGAUUUUAGGAAAUAUUUGGGGAAACAGCGCUUUCUGAUAAACAAAUAUGAAAAAUGUUUUUUUUUUUACUGAGGAAAGAGAGACAAUUCUUCAUUCUUGUUGAAAAAUCAUUUUUUUCUUAAAUGCAAUUAUGCCUUAAUGUAUGAAAACUUCAGAGAUAAUUAUAUUUAAAUUAUGUUGAUAAAUUUGUUAUAAAUGUUAAUAUUAGAUAUUAUAAUACCAGGCAGUAGUUGGUUACUUUUCCAAAUCAUUAUUUGUGGUAUGUUGUCAUAUUAUUUCUGUCAUGUGAUGAACUAAAUGUUGUGAUAAAUGGUUGUGUAGUAAAUAAACUGUUUGGGAGGUACCAUAGGAUAGGUCACAUGAUUAAAUCUUGUUUAUAUCAAGGAUAAAAUAACAUAUUUAAAAGCAAAUUUGUACAGAAAAAAAAAUAAGUUAAUUAAAAUGAUUGAAUGUAGAUGUAACAAAAAUAAUCAAGUCUUUAUCAGUAUUUCAUAAACAGACUUUGAUUUUUGACUUGUGUGGUCAGUUAGAAAUGUAAAUCAAAGCUGUAAUGUACAGUAAUACUCUGAUAACUUUGACCAGUCGAUAUCAAAUAAUGUUACAUGCUUAAAACUUUUCUUAGAAAAUAUAUUAUUAUUAUAUGGUCUAAAUAUUUCCUCAUGUGGACUUUAAUUCUAUGGUACAACUGAAAUGAGUUUAUGAUUUUUUUAUGUGUUUUGUGAAUUACUAUACUCUCUAGAACUAUAACAUCUAUGAUGUAUUUCACCACAAUCUAUAUUAGUUGUUCUAUUUAGUUUUUUGUGCUGACUGAAAACUUAAGGUCCUUAGUUAUCUUAGGAUCAUUUAAAUUGCCUAAAAAAGGGUUAUUUGUUUAAUGGUUUAAAAAUCAUAUAUCUUACUUCUCCAUUUUCUUUACAAUGACUUUUUGGUUUAAUAGUCAUGUCCCUGGUUAAAUUGUCACAGUUUCAUCUUAAUUCAUUGGCAUACAUAUUUAAACUCUUUUAGUGUCCAAACUAUACCCUUACUAAUCUGUCUAUUAUUUUAAUCUGCCCUGUGAAAGGAUGUUCCUCUUUACUAGUUUUAAUGAGGCAUUUAUAAAUGAACCAUACCAACUAUCCAGGAUUCUCUAACAAUGAACACAAUAUUUGCCCUGUGAAAGGAGGUUCCUCUUUACUAGUUUUAAUGAGGCAUUUAUAAAUGAACCAUACCAACUAUCCAGGAUUCUCUAACAAUGAACACACUAUAUUAUGUUUAGCAUCGACCAAUAUAAAUUGUGGUGAUGUAGUUGUGUCUGCAGGUAAACGUUGCUAGAUGUUUCAUGUUUCAUAUCACAUUGUAUUAUUUAUCAUGAUACUUUAUUUAAUAAGGCUGUGUUCAACCUGCAGGAGUUAAAAUAAAACUAUUUAAAAUCUCAUUUGUUAUCAAUAUGCAAGAAGGCCUAAUUUGAAACCCAUCAUCAUCUAUAGUGCUUUGGUUGAUGUAUUAUCAGAUAUAAUAUAUAUCUCACAGCCAAUAUUUUCCAAUCUUCAUAAUAUUACUUCAUAGCCUAGUGAAAGAGGACACAAGUUUGAGAAUGAACCAUUUUCUUCAGUCACCUCUUUGUAAGUUAGAAAUUGUAGUACAAGGGAGACAAUUCAGACAAAUUUUAUAAAUGAAAUAUCUUAUCCAUAUCGCAAAAUGACAGCAAC
rnacentral:lncRNA from 1 species